rnacentral:rRNA from 1 species
UUGCUCUCUGGAUCAGUGGCGAACGGGUGAGUAACACGUGAGCAACCUGCCCCGGACUCUGGGAUAACAGCUGGAAACAGCUGCUAAUACCGGAUACGAGCUGCGAAGGCAUCUUCAGCAGCUGGAAAGAAUUUCGGUCCGGGAUGGGCUCGCGGCCUAUCAGCUAGUUGGUGAGGUAAUGGCUCACCAAGGCGUCGACGGGUAGCCGGCCUGAGAGGGUGACCGGCCACACUGGGACUGAGACACGGCCCAGACUCCUACGGGAGGCAGCAGUGGGGAAUAUUGCACAAUGGGCGAAAGCCUGAUGCAGCAACGCCGCGUGAGGGAUGACGGCCUUCGGGUUGUAAACCUCUUUUAGCAGGGAAGAAGCGAAAGUGACGGUACCUGCAGAAAAAGCGCCGGCUAACUACGUGCCAGCAGCCGCGGUAAUACGUAGGGCGCAAGCGUUAUCCGGAAUUAUUGGGCGUAAAGAGCUCGUAGGCGGUUUGUCGCGUCUGCUGUGAAAACCCGAGGCUCAACCUCGGGCCUGCAGUGGGUACGGGCAGACUAGAGUGCGGUAGGGGAGAUUGGAAUUCCUGGUGUAGCGGUGGAAUGCGCAGAUAUCAGGAGGAACACCGAUGGCGAAGGCAGAUCUCUGGGCCGUAACUGACGCUGAGGAGCGAAAGGGUGGGGAGCAAACAGGCUUAGAUACCCUGGUAGUCCACCCCGUAAACGUUGGGAACUAGUUGUGGGGUCCAUUCCACGGAUUCCGUGACGCAGCUAACGCAUUAAGUUCCCCGCCUGGGGAGUACGGCCGCAAGGCUAAAACUCAAAGGAAUUGACGGGGACCCGCACAAGCGGCGGAGCAUGCGGAUUAAUUCGAUGCAACGCGAAGAACCUUACCAAGGCUUGACAUAUACGAGAACGGGCCAGAAAUGGUCAACUCUUUGGACACUCGUAAACAGGUGGUGCAUGGUUGUCGUCAGCUCGUGUCGUGAGAUGUUGGGUUAAGUCCCGCAACGAGCGCAACCCUCGUUCUAUGUUGCCAGCACGUAAUGGUGGGAACUCAUGGGAUACUGCCGGGGUCA